rnacentral:pre_miRNA from 1 species
AUAUUACUCCCUCCGUUCGGAAUUACUUAUCGUAGAAAUGGAUGUAUCUAGAUGUAUUUUAGUUCUAAAUACAUCCAUUUCCAAAACAAGUAAUUCCGAACGGAGGGAGUAUUAC